rnacentral:rRNA from 1 species
UUGGUCCAUUUAGAGGAAGUAAAAGUCGUAACAAGGUUUCCGUAGGUGAACCUGCGGAAGGAUCAUUAUUGAGAGGGGGGCCUCGCGCUCCAGGGGCCUCGUGCCCCGCACCUUUCCACCCUUUGUGUAUCUUCCACUGUUGCUUUGGCGGGCCCCGGGGUUUACCCCUCGGCGCUGGUCCCCUGCGAAGGGGGCUCGCGAGCGCCCGCCAGAGGCCCAUCUAAACCUGUUGUAUCAGUGCUGUCUGAGUAUACGAAUAAUCAAUUAAAACUUUCAACAACGGAUCUCUUGGUUCUGGCAUCGAUGAAGAACGCAGCGAAAUGCGAUAAGUAAUGUGAAUUGCAGAACUCAGUGAAUCAUCGAAUCUUUGAACGCACAUUGCGCCCUUUGGUAUUCCGAAGGGCAUGCCUGUUCGAGCGUCAUUACACCCCUCAAGCUCUGCUUGGUAUUGGGCGUCCGCCCCCUGUUCCCGGGGGGCGCGCCCGAAAUUCAGUGGCGGUCCAGGUGGACUUCAAGCGCAGUAAACUUUUGUUCGCUUUGGAAGCCUUCUGCCUGCGGCCCUGCCAGCCAACGAUUACCCCCAAUUAUUGACCUCGGAUCAGGUAGGGAUACCCGCUGAACUUAACCAUAUCAAUAAGCGGAGGAAGAUUCGCGUU